rnacentral:rRNA from 1 species
AGAGAGAGACAUGCGCGCAUAUCAAUAAGCGGAGGAAAAGAAACUAACAAGGAUUCCCUUAGUAACGGCGAGUGAAGCGGGAAGAGCUCAAAUUUGAAAUCUUCAAGGUUCUACCUUGACGAAUUGUAGUUUAUAGAAGUGUUUUCUGUUAGUGGAGUUGGCUAAAAGUUCUUUGGAAUAGGACAUCAUAGAGGGUGAGAAUCCCGUAUUUGAUCAUGUUCUCCUAACUUUGUGAUACACUUUCAACGAGUCGGAUUGUUUGGGAAUGCAGUCCAAAAUGGGUGGUAAAUUUCAUCUAAAGCUAAAUAUUGGCGAGAGACCGAUAGCGAACAAGUACCGUGAGGGAAAGAUGAAAAGAACUUUGAAAAGAGAGUUAAACAGUAUGUGAAAUUGUCAAAAGGGAAGCGUUUGACACCAGUGUUGUUUUUCCGAAAAUCAAUUACGAAUGUUUUGUUUUUGAGGAGUUAUGACUUCAUCGGCUUGCUCCUUUCUUUACGAAACUUUCUUAAUGCACUUUUCGGUUAACAAGUCAACAUCAAUUUCUUUUGUUGUAAAAGGGUAUGAGGAAGGUGGCUUUCUUUUCGGAGAAAGUGUUUAUAGCCUUGUGCCUCUGCAAUCGGAGAGAUUGAGGUCUGCAGCGUAGAUCCUUCGGGGUUAGAUACAGUUUGUGCUAAGUUAUAGCUUUUCAUAGACAACUUGUUGACUAUGUUUAGUCUUGUAGCUUACUCGCUUAUGCCUAUUUUACCUACGCUUAGGAUGUUGAUAGUCACAGCGUGUAC